UCUGCCAUUACACAUUUCUGCUGCUCGCACAAGUAUUUUCUACAAGUAUACAAAUCAUUUUGAGACUGUUCUGGCGCUUCCUGUUGAAUAGCCAAUGGCGAUCCUCAGGUUUGGCUAGCCAACCAUGAAUCUCAGUUCACUAACCAAUCACAGAGCAGGAGCAGCGCCGUCGUUGUCUGUGGGUGCAACCAAACCUGGAGUCUACGUUUGGAGCACGCUAGUUUCCUGUAUUCCUUGAGUUUCUUAUGGAUCCCCAGUUGCUGCCUCCUUCUGAAGCACAGGUUAUUAGAGAGGCUGAAAACCAGACUGGAACAGGCUCUUCAAAGGCAGCCUCUGGACCUGGACUAUUUAGAGUUCCUAUGUACCAGUGAGUUGAGCCUAGUUCACCGAGUACUCACAUGCCAUUUCCAGAAGAGGUCAUAGGCAGACGGGAAAAGCAGGCCUUAAAAGAGGGCUACAGGAUACUGGGGUGCUCCCAAUGAUAACAGAACGGCCAGAACUGGCUAGAGUUCUGUUCCCACAAGGUGUCUCAUCUCUGAUGGAUCCUAAGAUGAUUUUGAAAAGAGUGGUUUGACCAGAUGAGGCGGAGGUUGACGAAGAUGAAAUGGAAGACUGCUCACCUACCUCAGACAAUACGCUUUUCUUUAGAGACAUUGAAAGACCUGGUGGUCUUCUGGACGGGAUGGUCUGUUGGCAGGGGCAAUGCCGACUGUACUUUGAAACUCCCCCUAGGGACAAGAAUGUAUGACACCUUCAAAGAAGCUAUGAAUGCAGGGCUGAAAUAAAGCAAUUAUGGUUUUGGCUUGAUCUAGUGUUUUCUGCAAGUUCAAUGCAGUAUAGUCAACAAUUUCAGUGUUUCAGACGGUGA